UCUUUCUUUUCCUUCUCUCAUCUCAUUUUCUCUCUACCCCUUUCUCACAGAAUGAUGUCAAAAGCAAGCUUUAGGAACAAUGAAAAAGAGGAGAGUUUUACGGAAAGCAAUUACACUCAAAAUGGCUGAAAGUUGCUGGAAAAUGCCAACAGACAGACCAAUUUAUACCUACUCACAGUCACCAGGGGCUGGCCUAGGAUCUGCUUUAUGGCUUAACACAAACACCUCACUAAGACAAAGGCCUUUUGUGUAAUUACCAGCACAUGGGUCAGCCAGAACUCUCCACAUAGAAAAGUACAUACGGACCUACCACAGAGAGACCAAAAGAGAUGGAGAGGGUGGCAACGAAGAACCGGUUGGAGAACAAGGGUCACUGAGGGGGUCACAGAAGUACUUGAGAUUCCUGCCUCACUGUUUCCCACCCUACCGUUCAUCCUUUAUUUUUCAUCAAGCACAACAUCAGGCAUUAACUCUCUAACCCACAAACUUUUAAAUGCACUGUUUUGCUGCUGUAAAGACAAAAGGAGAUUUACUUGGCUGUGUGACUGAGUAGAAAAUAUAGGAAAAGAGAAACUUUUUGCCUUAGAUAAGCACUUUCUCACUUCCUCUCUGUUUUUUUUUUUUUUUAAUUCACAAUAAAUGAGAACAGAACUACUGUGUAUAUAUCAUGAUUAUAAACACAGGUAAAGGAUAUGACUCCUUAAGACAGGUCGAAACAAAGAGUGGGGAUUUAUUUUCAAAUAUUGUGCUAUUUUAGUUCCCAAAACACCACCAAUAUUCUCAUUUUAAAGAUCAACUAAUAGUUAUGUUAAAGAAUAAUAUAAAUGGACCAUUAUUCAGUGUUUUUCAGGGACCAGUUUUUAAACAUUCCUAUCUGAUCCCUGUUUAUUUACACAGACUGCGCUUAUGUACGUAUAUAAAUGCAUGAAGUAAAUAUUGAGUAUUGUAAAAAUGAGUAAUAAUGUCAUUUAAUAGAAAGUUUUUGUGUGGUAAAAAGCACAUCAUACUCUGGCUACAGACAAAACAAGUUAAGAUCAAUUUAUGAAUUUGUUUACUGCAUUUUACUAAUUAGAAACUCAAGACUUCACAUUGGUUAUUUCAGCAGCAUGAAAAACAAAA